rnacentral:rRNA from 1 species
UGGGGAAUAUUGCACAAUGGGCGAAAGCCUGAUGCAGCAACGCCGCGUGAGUGAUGAAGGUCUUCGGAUUGUAAAGCUCUGUCUUUUGGGACGAUAAUGACGGUACCAAAGGAGGAAGCCACGGCUAACUACGUGCCAGCAGCCGCGGUAAUACGUAGGUGGCGAGCGUUGUCCGGAUUUACUGGGCGUAAAGGGUGCGUAGGCGGAUGUUUAAGUGAGAUGUGAAAUACCCGGGCUUAACUUGGGUGCUGCAUUUCAAACUGGAUAUCUAGAGUGCAGGAGAGGAGAAUGGAAUUCCUAGUGUAGCGGUGAAAUGCAUAGAGAUUAGGAAGAACACCAGUGGCGAAGGCGAUUCUCUGGACUGUAACUGACGCUGAGGCACGAAAGCGUGGGUAGCAAACAGGAUUAGAUACCCUGGUAGUCCACGCCGUAAACGAUGAGUACUAGGUGUAGGAGGUAUCGACCCCUUCUGUGCCGCAGUAAACACAUUAAGUACUCCGCCUGGGAAGUAC